rnacentral:rRNA from 1 species
CGAUGAAGGCCUUCGGGUCGUAAAGCUCUGUUGUCAGGGAAGAACAAGUACAAGAGUAACUGCUUGUACCUUGACGGUACCUGACCAGAAAGCCCCGGCUAACUACGUGCCAGCAGCCGCGGUAAUACGUAGGGGGCAAGCGUUGUCCGGAAUUAUUGGGCGUAAAGGGCGCGUAGGCGGUUUCUUAAGUCUGAUGUGAAAGCCCACAGCUUAACUGUGGAGGGUCAUUGGAAACUGGGGAACUUGAGUGCAGAAGAGGAGAGUGGAAUUCCACGUGUAGCGGUGAAAUGCGUAGAUAUGUGGAGGAACACCAGUGGCGAAGGCGACUCUCUGGUCUGUAACUGACGCUGAGGCGCGAAAACGUGNGGAGCGAACAGGAUUAGAUACCCUGGUAGUCCACGCCGUANACGAUGAGUGCUAGGUGUUANGGGGUUUCCGCCCCUUAGUGCUGAAGUUAACGCAUUAAGCACUCCGCCUGGGGAGUACGGCCCGCAGGCUGAAACUCAAAAGAAUUGACNGGGGCCCGNNCACAGCGUGGAGCAUGUGGUUNAAUUCGAAAGCACGCGAGAACCUACCCAGGUCUGACAUCCGCUGAACACUUUGAGACNNAGCGUCCUUCGGGGACGCGUGACAGUGGUGCAUGGUGUCGUCACUCUGUCNUGAGAUGUUGGGUUA